rnacentral:rRNA from 1 species
GAACGCUGGCGGCGUGCUUAACACAUGCAAGUCGAACGGUGAAGCCCAGCUUGCUGGGUGGAUCAGUGGCGAACGGGUGAGUAACACGUGAGCAACCUGCCCCUGACUCUGGGAUAAGCGCUGGAAACGGCGUCUAAUACUGGAUAUGUGACGUGACCGCAUGGUCUGCGUCUGGAAAGAAUUUCGGUUGGGGAUGGGCUCGCGGCCUAUCAGCUUGUUGGUGAGGUAAUGGCUCACCAAGGCGUCGACGGGUAGCCGGCCUGAGAGGGUGACCGGCCACACUGGGACUGAGACACGGCCCAGACUCCUACGGGAGGCAGCAGUGGGGAAUAUUGCACAAUGGGCGCAAGCCUGAUGCAGCAACGCCGCGUGAGGGAUGACGGCCUUCGGGUUGUAAACUUCUUUUAGCAGGGAAGAAGCGAAAGUGACGGUACCUGCAGAAAAAGCGCCGGCUAACUACGUGCCAGCAGCCGCGGUAAUACGUAGGGCGCAAGCGUUAUCCGGAAUUAUUGGGCGUAAAGAGCUCGUAGGCGGUUUGUCGCGUCUGCUGUGAAAUCCGGAGGCUCAACCUCCGGCCUGCAGUGGGUACGGGCAGACUAGAGUGCGGUAGGGGAGAUUGGAAUUCCUGGUGUAGCGGUGGAAUGCGCAGAUAUCAGGAGGAACACCGAUGGCGAAGGCAGAUCUCUGGGCCGUAACUGACGCUGAGGAGCGAAAGGGUGGGGAGCAAACAGGCUUAGAUACCCUGGUAGUCCACCCCGUAAA